rnacentral:miRNA from 1 species
GUGUAUUUUUUGUCUUUGUGGAAGCCGCCCAGAGUGGCUGGGGAAACCCAGCCAGAUGGGUGGGGUACAAAUAAAAAAUUAUUAUUAUUAUUAUUAUUAUUAAUCCACCGUUAUUUAAUAAUAAUAAUAAUAAUAAUAAUAAUAAUAAUUUAUUAUUUAUACCCCGCCCAUUUGGCUGGGUUUCCCCAGCCACUCUGGAUGGCUUCCAACAAAACACUAAAAUACA